rnacentral:rRNA from 1 species
GACGAACGCUGGCGGCGUGCUUAAUACAUGCAAGUCGAACGAACAGGCCCUGCUCUUGUUGGUUUCUCGAUUGGCGAACGCGUGUGUAAAACGUGAGUAUCAUGCCCUUGACUUUGUGAUAACUUCUGGAAACUGGGGCUCAUAUCGGAUAUGAUCUCCUGCUGCAUGUUGUGCGUUGGAAAGUUUCGGCUGUUGUGGCUGGUCUGGCUGCUUAUCAGCUUGUUGGUGGGGUAGUGGCUUACCAAGGCUUUGACGGGUAGCCGGCCUGAGAGGGUGACCGGCCACAUUGGGACUGAGAUACGGCCCAGAAUCCAACGGGAGGCAGCAGGGGGGAAUAUUGCAGAAUGGGCGGAAGCCAGAUGCAGCAACGCCGGGUGCGGGAUGACGGGCUUCGGGUUGUAAACCGAUGUCGCCUGUGAUGAAGAGGGAGUGACGGUAAUGGGUAAAGAAGCACCGGCUAACUACGUG